GAUGAAGAACGUAGCGAAAUGCGAUACUUGGUGUGAAUUGCAGAAUCCCGUGAACCAUCGAGUCUUUGAACGCAAGUUGCGCCGGAAGCCAUUAGGCCGAGGGCACGCCUGCCUGGGCGUCACACGUCGUUGCCCCCCCAUCUACUCCUUCGGGAUUGCGGGGGGCGGAUGAUGGCCUCCCGUGCGCCUCGUCGCGCGGUUGGCAUAAAUGCCAAGUCCUCGGCGACGCACGCCACGACAAUCGGUGGUUGCGAAACCUCGGUUGCCCGUCGUGUGCGGUCGUCGCGCAUCGAGGGCUCGAAAAAAUUGCCGGGCUCCGGCUCGGCUUUCAACGCGACCCCAGGUCAGGCGGGGUUACCCGCUGAAUUUAAGCAUAUCAAUAAGCGGAGGA
rnacentral:misc_RNA from 1 species